rnacentral:rRNA from 1 species
GACGAACGCUGGCGGCGUGCUUAACACAUGCAAGUCGAACGGAAAGGCCCUGCUUUUGUGGGGUGCUCGAGUGGCGAACGGGUGAGUAACACGUGAGUAACCUGCCCUUGACUUUGGGAUAACUUCAGGAAACUGGGGCUAAUACCGGAUAGGAGCUCCUGCUGCAUGGUGGGGGUUGGAAAGUUUCGGCGGUUGGGGAUGGACUCGCGGCUUAUCAGCUUGUUGGUGGGGUAGUGGCUUACCAAGGCUUUGACGGGUAGCCGGCCUGAGAGGGUGACCGGCCACAUUGGGACUGAGAUACGGCCCAGACUCCUACGGGAGGCAGCAGUGGGGAAUAUUGCACAAUGGGCGGAAGCCUGAUGCAGCAACGCCGCGUGCGGGAUGACGGCCUUCGGGUUGUAAACCGCUUUCGCCUGUGACGAAGCGUGAGUGACGGUAAUGGGUAAAGAAGCACCGGCUAACUACGUGCCAGCAGCCGCGGUGAUACGUAGGGUGCGAGCGUUGUCCGGAUUUAUUGGGCGUAAAGGGCUCGUAGGUGGUUGAUCGCGUCGGAAGUGUAAUCUUGGGACUUAACCCUGAGCGUGCUUUCGAUACGGGUUGACUUGAGGAAGGUAGGGGAGAAUGGAAUUCCUGGUGGAGCGGUGGAAUGCGCAGAUAUCAGGAGGAACACCAGUGGCGAAGGCGGUUCUCUGGGCCUUUCCUGACGCUGAGGAGCGAAAGCGUGGGGAGCGAACAGGCUUAGAUACCCUGGUAGUCCACGCUGUAAACGGUGGGUACUAGGUGUGGGGUCCAUUCCACGGGUUCCGUGCCGUAGCUAACGCUUUAAGUACCCCGCCUGGGGAGUACGGCCGCAAGGCUAAAACUCAAAGGAAUUGACGGGGCCCCGCACAAGCGGCGGAGCAUGCGGAUUAAUUCGAUGCAACGCGUAGAACCUUACCUGGGUUUGACAUGGAUCGGGAGCGCUCAGAGAUGGGUGUGCCUCUUUUGGGGUCGGUUCACAGGUGGUGCAUGGCUGUCGUCAGCUCGUGUCGUGAGAUGUUGGGUUAAGUCCCGCAACGAGCGCAACCCUUGUUCACUGUUGCCAGCACGUUAUGGUGGGGACUCAGUGGAGACCGCCGGGGUCAACUCGGAGGAAGGUGGGGAUGACGUCAAGUCAUCAUGCCCCUUAUGUCCAGGGCUUCACGCAUGCUACAAUGGCUGGUACAGAGAGUGGCGAGCCUGUGAGGGUGAGCGAAUCUCGGAAAGCCGGUCUCAGUUCGGAUUGGGGUCUGCAACUCGACCUCAUGAAGUCGGAGUCGCUAGUAAUCGCAGAUCAGCAACGCUGCGGUGAAUACGUUCCCGGG